GUCAUAGCUCGACAACAGUAUGAAGAAACUUAGAAUGCCACCCAUAGGGUUCCCAGGCCGGCUUCAAUUUGAUGACUGGCCAAGCAAAAAAAAAAAUCCUUUUUGGACUACAGCCUGAAUCUUAUUAGUUAGUUCUAAGUAGAAAGGAUAUCUUAAAUAUAUGUUAUGAUUGAGCCUCAUGGCUCUGUUACUGACAGACGUGGGCGUAAGACUCCUCGAGAGUCAGAUACUCUCGAGGAGCGAGAAAGAAAAAGACUGCGAGACAUUUUUGCAGCACCAUCUGACGAAGAGUCUUUUGAGGGGUUUACGGAGAGAAUGGAGGAGGGGCUGGUUAGCUCGGAGGAGGAUGAGAUGGAUUGGACUCGGGUGAGGGAGGAAUUGGGUGCCACUGGCCAUGAUGGGAUAGAAGAUGAAUGGGGACCUUCAGGAUUAGACCCAUGGUCUAGCUGGAGGGAUGGGACGGGAUCCACAGCUGGAGAUGCUGUGGGGCGUAGUCAGAGGUGUUCCAGCUCUGAUGAGGAAAGUGAUGAGGAAACGCCCGGGUUAAGGAGGACAGCUGACAGUGAUGAGGAUUUGUAACUGGCAUAAAAUGGGGCUUGGGAGCAAUUGCAAAUUGCGUUGGGCAAGGUAAUCUGGACGAACGCUUGGGAUCUGUGUGGGACGCUUUCCUGAAGACUGGUGUGUUUUCGUGUGCUGAUACCUUGACCUUCCGUCGUCUUCUUGACGGACGCCAUCUCCUGCUUUGAAACUCGGACUGAACUGACCACGGCUUGACUUCCCCCUUCUUGGACUUGGAAACUACAAACGUCUGCUUCUGGCUUUGAUCUACGGAAAGGAACUGGGUCUACUCUACUGCUGCAAUCCUUGGCUGAUCUGUUCGUGUUGGAAAUCCUGUCUGCUGUGUGUGUGGGAGCGACGCAAGUUACUCUAAGCACAGUGUUGGCAGCAGAGAGGAAUCUGCUGCCAAUUAGUUGCAUUCUUUUGUAUCUUUUGUUCCUCGGCUUUUGUUUUGUUUAUCCCCAGGCUGAAGCAAGCAGUUUGUUUUUACCCGGAUUAAACUCCGGUUUAAUCCGGUUUAUCUUUUGAACGUUUUUCCUUGUCCCUUUUUGCUCCUAAAGGCUAAUACUGCCUGGCCCUUGUAUUUUACGGGCAUUUUUGAGUUCUGUAAUCCAAUAAACUCUGUUAUCUUGAA